GGUGUAAGCCCAGAAGUGCCUGGGUGGCUCAGUCAGUUAAGCAUCUGACUCUUAUUUUGGCUCAGAACACUCCCACAGGAAGCAUCGCUGAUGGUCACUGGAUUGAUUUACAAAGGACAAAAGUACAAUGAGUAAAGGAGGAAAUAAGCACUUUUCAGAAAAGAAUCAAUAAACUCUGCUUUUAAUGUGAAAAGAAAAGAUAUUUCUUACUGAAAAGAAGGGGAAAUUAUUCUUGGAACACAGAUGAUGAUAUCAACAGUGGCAGCAGCAGCAUCAACAAACCAAUUCAAAAAUCAAGAAAUUAUGUGUGAAAUGUAAAAAUAAUUGCCACCAAAGAGGAAAAUUAUGAUUGAAUAAGAAAAUAAAUGAGUGAUUAAGCAUGUUUAAUUAAUAAAAAUGUGGUGAGAGCCCAUUGUUUUCUCCAGUUCAA